GCUUAUCCAACUUCUUCCCUACAUACCCCUAUCUAUCAAUGUGCUCCCCCUUUUCAACCAGAUACGAGACACAACACAAGGUCACCUUUUUUGUCCCAUUCCCCCUGGCCUAUGAUUCCUCCUUUCCCCCCCCCCCCCACUGAUGAAUGCUCUUACUUGGCCCCCGCUGACAUACUGAACAUCCACGAUCAUAAACUCAUGACAUAUCCCCCUUAUCAGGAAAACCUACAAAACAUAACGGUUAGAAUCACAAACAGAA